rnacentral:ncRNA from 1 species
CUACGGACUUGAUUGGAUUGAGCCUUGGUAUGGAAACUUACUAAGUGAAAACUUUCAAAUUCAGAGAAACCCUGGAAGUAAAAAUGGGCAAUCCUGAGCCAAAUCCUGUUUUCAAAAAACAAACAAGGGUUCAGAAAGCGAGAAUCAAAAAAGGAUAGGUGCAGAGACUCAAUGGAAGCUGUUCUAACGAAUGGAGUUGACUGCGUUGCGUUGGCAGAGGAAUCCUUCUAUCGAAACUCCAGAAAAGAAAGGAUGAAGGAUAAAUCUAUACUAUAUACGUACGUAUACGUACUGAAAUAUCAUAUCAAAUGAUUAAUGACAACCUGAGUCCGUAUUUUUUUUAUAUAAAAAGGAAAAGGGAAUUUUUGUGAAUCAAUUCCACGUUGAAGUAAAGGAAGAAUCGAAUAUUCAGUGAUCAAAUCAUUCACUCCACAGUCUGAUAGAUCUUUUGAACAACUGAUUAAUCAGAUGAGAAUAAAGAUAGAGUCCCAUUCUACAUGUCAAUACCGA